GACGAACGCUGGCGGCGUGCUUAACACAUGCAAGUCGAACGGUGAAGCGCCUUCCUUUUUGGCGGGUGUGGAUGAGUGGCGAACGGGUGAGUAACACGUGAGUAACCUGCUUUCUUCUUCUGGAUAACCGCAUGAAAGUGUGGCUAAUACGGGAUAUUCUGUGUCUGUCGCAUGAUGGGUCUUGGAAAGAUAUUGUGUCGGAGGGGGCUGGGCUCGCGGUCUAUCAGCUUGUGGGUGGGGGGAUGGCCUACCGAGGCGGUGUCGCGUAGCCGGCCUGAGAGGGUGGACGAUCACAGAGGGACGGAGACGCGGCCCAGACUCCUGCGGGAGGCAGCGGUGAGGAAUAUUGAACAGUGGGAGGAAUCCUGCUGCAACGACGCGGCGGUGGAGAUGGACGCCGUCGUGUAGUGAACCUCUUUCGCCAGUGAAGCGGGCCUGCCUCGUUUGUGGGUGGGUUGACGGUAGCUGGAUAAGAAGCGCCGGCUAACUACGUG
rnacentral:rRNA from 1 species